CCUACGGGAGACAGCAGUGAGGAAUAUUGGUCAAUGGCCGGAAGGCUGAACCAGCCAUGCCGCGUGCUUGAUUAAGCCCUUCGGGGUGUAAAGAUUUGUCAGUGGGGACGAAACUUGACGGUACCCACAGAGGAUGCACCUGCUAACUCCGUGCAAGCAGCCUCGGUAAUACGGAGGGUGCAAGCGUUGUCCGGAAUCAUUGGGCGUAAAGAGUUCGUAGGUGGCAUAUUAAGUCUGGUGUUAAAUGCAGAAGCUCAACUUCUGUUCGGCACUGGAUACUGGUAAGCUUGAAUGCGGUAGAGGUAAAGGGAAUUCCUGGUGUAGCGGUGAAAUGCGUAGAUAUCAGGAGGAACAUCGGUGGCGUAGGCGCUUUACUGGGCCGUAAUUGACACUGAGGAACGAAAGCCGGGGUAGCAAAUGGGAUUAGAUACCCCAGUAGUC
rnacentral:rRNA from 1 species